rnacentral:rRNA from 1 species
AUUUAAAAAUAAAUUGUGAUUAGGAGAUAAUUAAAUAAUUUAAAUAAAAAUUUAGUGAAUAUAAUGGUUAUAGUAUAAAUUAAAAAAAAAUUAUAAUUAUAAAUUUACUGUAAAGGAUAUUUAAAAUAUUAAAAAGAAAAUUUAAAUUAUUGUACCUUUUGUAUCAGGGAUUAUUAAAAUAAUAGGUAAAAAUUUAUAAAUCUCGAAUUAAAAAGAGUUAAUUAAUUAUUAUAGUUAAUGUGGAAUAAUUAUUAUGAAUAUUUAAUUAGAAAUGAAAUGUUAGUAGAUUUUUAAGAUAUCUAGUUUUUUAAUAAAUAAAUUUAAUUUAAUUAAAAUUUUUAUUAUUAAUAAAUUAAAAUUAAUAAUAAAUUUUUAAUAAAGAAUUUAUGGGAUAAACUAUGAAUUAAAAUUAAAUAAAUUAAAAAAGUAAAUUAAAAAUUUAAAAUUUAAAAUUUUUAAAAUUAUAGAGUUUUUAAUAAUUUAUUAAAAUUUAGAAUAAAUUUAAUAAAAUUUAUUAAUUAUAUAUUAAAAUAAAAUUUAAAAUAGAAUAUAAUUAAUAAUAAUGAUAAUAUAAGUAUAAAAAUAUAUAAAAAAUUUAAUUAAAAUUAAAAAUUAAUUUAAGGAAUUAGGCAAAUUUGAAAUUCACUUGUUUAACAAAAACAUGUUUUUUUGAUAAUAAUUUAAAAUUUACUCUGCCCAAUGAAAUUUUUAAAUGGCCGCAGUAUUUUGACUGUGCAAAGGUAGCAUAAUAAAUAGUUUUUUAAUUGAAGACUAGAAUGAAGGAGGGGAUGAAAUUUUAACUGUCUCAGAUAAAAUAAUAAAAAUUUAUUUUAAGUAAAAAUUCUUAAAUAAAUUUAAGGGACGAGAAGACCCUAUAGAAUUUAAAAUUUUAGAUUAAUAAAUUUAAUAAUUUUUUUAAUUUUAUUAGUGGAAAAAUUUUUUAUUGGGAGGAUAUCAAAAUUUAAAAAACUUUUGAUUUUUAAUAACAUAAAUUAAUGAAUUUUUAAAAUAAUAUUGUAAAAUAAAAUAAAAUUACCUUAGGGAUAACAGCGUAAUAAAUUUUUAAAGAUCAUAUUGAAAAAUUUGAUUGCGACCUCGAUGUUGAAUUAAAAUAAAAUUAAAGUGAAGAAGCUUUAUAUUUAAGUCUGUUCGACUUUUAAAAUUUUACAUGAUUUG